CAUCUGUUUCCAUUGCUCCAACAGCAGAUCAGCCUGUGUGCCUUCUAAACAGACUUACAGGCGGCAAGAGCCUUCUGCUGGACUCCCCAGUGCAAGCCCCACCCUGAGCUUGCUGCUUUUGUCCAAUAGCAAGACCAGCCAGUAAGUAACAAGUGUAUCCCUUCGGGUCAGGCACCAGCCAGCAAAUAACAAGUGUAUCCCUUCUCGCCAGGCUACACACAUUCCAGGGUUUUGUUUCAAUUCCUCGAAUCUGUCUUUGGCGUCCGCAACUGUGCAGAUUCUAUUGGUCGGGGCCCAGCUAUGCUGGUCCUAUUCCGGUUGCCUCUCACUGCUGUCCUGACCCACUGCAGCCCCAGCAUCUCCUACUUCAUUGUUUCAACACCUGCUGUCUACUGAGCGUGCCGGCCCGCCGCUGGCUAUGGUAAGAUGCAUCCGCCAUUAUGUCAGAGUCGAGAUUGGCCUCCUACGCAACCUGAUCCAAUAGCGUUCAAGAAACAAAGACAAGAAGGUGGCCGGUGAAAAUGACCUUGUCCAACUUCAAUUAGAACGCCUUCAAACUGAGCUCAAAUGCUGUCUGAGCUGUCAGUUGGGAUUCUUAGAUUCUGGCCUGGAGCUGUCUCCCUCUGGAAUCCCUUUUGUUUGCCUUGUUCGGCUAACUCGACUGGAUUAGAUACUGGUCUAAGCAAAUUUCCUUUUAAGGAUUGUAUGGACAGGACUCAAGGCAGAGCUGUGGCCCAGGAUUACAGGAAGGUGCAUUCACCCACGUGCUCACCACUGUAGGGCUCCAACUAGGAAGGUUAAGAACACUUACUGCUCUUCCAGAGGACUUGAGUUCACUUUCCAGUACCCGCAAUAUGGCUUGCAACUGUCCCUAAUAGCAGUUAGCUCCAAGGGACACCUCUGGCCUCCAACUUCCACAGGCCUGUACUCAUGACCCCACACAUGCAAAUUAAACAAUAAAGGUAUGUCCAUUCUUAACUGAAUAGGGCUGGGGAUGUAGCUCAGUUGGUAAAAUGUUUCUCCACCAUGAAUGAAACACGGGGCUCAACCUCUAGCAUCACAUAACAACUUGAGUUACAAGCAGGAGGAUCAGGAGUUCAAGGUCAUCCUCGGAUGCUCGGCAAGUUUAAAGCCAGUCUGGACAAUGUGAGAUUCUGCCUCCACAAUAAAAAAAAAAAGUCUGUUUUCCAGACAUGUGUUUUCCCGUGUUGCCGUGGCUGUAUUGGAACUCACUCUGUGGACCAGGCUGGCCUCGAACUCACAGAGAUCCACCUGCCUCUGCCUCCUGAGUGCUGGGAUUAAAGGCUUGCUCUCCCCAGCCCCCACCCCAACACGGUAAUUUCUUUUUUAAUUACAGACAUAUGUGCCCUAAGACUGAG